UACGUAGGGUGCGAGCGUUAAUCGGAAUUACUGGGCGUAAAGCGUGCGCAGGCGGUUUUGUAAGCCAGAUGUGAAAUCCCCGGGCUUAACCUGGGAAUGGCAUUUGGGACUGCAAGGCUUGAGUGCGGCAGAGGAGACUGGAAUUCCUGGUGUAGCAGUGAAAUGCGUAGAUAUCAGGAGGAACACCGAUGGCGAAGGCAGGUCUCUGGGCUGACACUGACGCUCAUGCACCGAAAGCGUG
rnacentral:rRNA from 1 species